rnacentral:rRNA from 1 species
UACGUAGGCAGCGAGCGUUGUUCGGAAUUACUGGGCGUAAAGAGUGUGUAGGUGGUGUCGUAAGUUUGGUGUGAAAUCUCCCGGCUUAACUGGGAGGGUGCGCCGAAGACUGCGAUGCUGGAGUACGGGAGAGGAAAGCGGAAUUCCUGGUGUAGCGGUGAAAUGCGUAGAUAUCGAGGAGGAACACCUGCGUGUAGACGGCUUUCUGGGACCAUUACUGACACUGAGACACGAAAGCGUGGGGAGCAAACAGG